UAACGCGUGAGUAACCUGCCUCGUACAGGGGGAUAACAGUUAGAAAUGACUGCUAAUACCGCAUGAGCGCACAGUGCUGCAUGGCACAGUGUGAAAAACUCCGGUGGUAUGAGAUGGACCCGCGUCUGAUUAGCUAGUUGGUGGGGUAACGGCCUACCAAGGCGACGAUCAGUAGCCGGCCUGAGAGGGUGAACGGCCACAUUGGGACUGAGACACGGCCCAA
rnacentral:rRNA from 1 species